CAAGGUACGGGGAUUAGGGCAGACUCAUUGCAGCUCUUCCUCCUGCCUAGCUGACCAUGGAGACAGCUGUAGUCGUCCUUGCAGUCAGUCUAUGUGCAUUUUUAGUACUGAGAUUCAGGCGAAAUCGGACUUCUGCAUGAAUGCCGAGGGUGCACGUCUCCAUGCUGGUGAGUGGGGAGGGCAGGGGGGUUGGGCUGUGCUGGGUGGAACACGGGGUUGUACUCUGGGCUUACU
rnacentral:lncRNA from 1 species